UACGUAGGUGGCGAGCGUUAUCCGGAAUUAUUGGGCGUAAAGAGCGCGCAGGUGGUUGAUUAAGUCUGAUGUGAAAGCCCACGGCUUAACCGUGGAGGGUCAUUGGAAACUGGUCGACUUGAGUGCAGAAGAGGGAAGUGGAAUUCCAUGUGUAGCGGUGAAAUGCGUAGAGAUAUGGAGGAACACCAGUGGCGAAGGCGGCUUCCUGGUCUGUAACUGACACUGAGGCACGAAAGUGUGGGGAGCAAACAGGAUUAGAUA
rnacentral:rRNA from 1 species